rnacentral:rRNA from 1 species
GGCUAGAGUUUGAUCAUGGCUCAGGACGAACGCUGGCGGCGUGCCUAAUACAUGCAAGUCGAGCGAGCGGAACUAACAGAUUUACUUCGGUAAUGACGUUAGGAAAGCGAGCGGCGGAUGGGUGAGUAACACGUGGGGAACCUGCCCCAUAGUCUGGGAUACCACUUGGAAACAGGUGCUAAUACCGGAUAGGAAAGCAGAUCGCAUGAUCAGCUUUUAAAAGGCGGCGUAAGCUGUCGCUAUGGGAUGGCCCCGCGGUGCAUUAGCUAGUUGGUAAGGUAAAGGCUUACCAAGGCGAUGAUGCAUAGCCGAGUUGAGAGACUGAUCGGCCACAUUGGGACUGAGACACGGCCCAAACUCCUACGGGAGGCAGCAGUAGGGAAUCUUCCACAAUGGACGCAAGUCUGAUGGAGCAACGCCGCGUGAGUGAAGAAGGUUUUCGGAUCGUAAAGCUCUGUUGUUGGUGAAGAAGGAUAGAGGUAGUAACUGGCCUUUAUUUGACGGUAAUCAACCAGAAAGUCACGGCUAACUACGUGCCAGCAGCCGCGGUAAUACGUAGGUGGCAAGCGUUGUCCGGAUUUAUUGGGCGUAAAGCGAGCGCAGGCGGAAGAAUAAGUCUGAUGUGAAAGCCCUCGGCUUAACCGAGGAACUGCAUCGGAAACUGUUUUUCUUGAGUGCAGAAGAGGAGAGUGGAACUCCAUGUGUAGCGGUGGAAUGCGUAGAUAUAUGGAAGAACACCAGUGGCGAAGGCGGCUCUCUGGUCUGCAACUGACGCUGAGGCUCGAAAGCAUGGGUAGCGAACAGGAUUAGAUACUCCUGGUAGUCCAUGCCGUAAACGAUGAGUGCUAAGUGUUGGGAGGUUUCCGCCUCUC